AAUGACCCUGUGCCUUUUCUGUUUCUCCUGCCAGAGUCGGUAGGGUUUGGACUGAUCUCUCUUUUAUUUCUCCAGGUAGCAGAGAGGUUUCUUUCCCCUUUAGUAGAGAAGAUAGUGUAGAGACCCCUUAUUAGAGAAGAUAGUGUACAGACCCCUUUAGUAGAGAAGAUAGUGUACAGAGAAGAUAGUAGAGAAGAUAGUGUACCCCUUAUUAGAGAAGAUUGCUCUGCCUGCAGCUGUACCCAUGGACAAGCUUGGAUUCCAACAGUUCUGUUCACAGCAAGUGAGUCCCCACUUGUGUGUAUUUCUCCUGCUGAUCUACGCGUAGGAGAUGUUUUUCCACUGACCUUGGGUUUGGGAGCUGGAGGGUUUGUGGGUGUUGUUUUCAAAUCAGGUCUGUUUUGUGGGCUUUUGCAGUAUUUGGUACCCGAAGCCGAGCACGCAGAUCAUCCUGGGAGGACAAAGAGCCAAAACACAGCUGGUUUCCAAAGCUGUCUUCCCCCACACUUGUCAUGUGGGCACAGGGAUACCACACUUGCAAGGGCUUCUCCAAAGGUUUUUCUGCCAGGAGUGCUCCAGGCUUUCAGAAGGUAACUUUCCAGCCCAGAACAGAAACAUGGACCUGAUGCUGUCAUUUCCUGAGCACUGUAAGGUGUCCUGCACCUCUUGCCUC
rnacentral:lncRNA from 1 species